rnacentral:rRNA from 2 species
UACGGAGGGUGCAAGCGUUAUCCGGAUUCACUGGGUUUAAAGGGUGCGUAGGAGGGCAGGUAAGUCAGUGGUGAAAUCUCCAAGCUUAACUUGGAAACUGCCGUUGAUACUAUCUGUCUUGAAUAUUGUGGAGGUGAGCGGAAUAUGUCAUGUAGCGGUGAAAUGCUUAGAUAUGACAUAGAACACCAAUUGCGAAGGCAGCUCACUACACAAUCAUUGACUCUGAGGCACGAAAGCGUGGGGAUCAAACAGG